rnacentral:rRNA from 1 species
CAGUAGCCGCGGGAAUACGGAGGGGGCUAGCGUUGUUCGGAAUUACUGGGCGUAAAGCGCACGUAGGCGGCUUGGUAAGUUAAAGGUGAAAGCCCGGAGCUCAACUCCGGAAUUGCCUUUAAGACUGCCGAGCUAGUAGGUGAGAGAGGUAAGUGGAAAUCCGAGUGUAGAGGUGAAAUUCGUAGAUAUUCGGAAGAACACCAGUGGCGAAGGCGGCUUACUGGCUCAUUCUAGACGCUGAGGUGCGAAAGCGUGGGGAGCAAACAGGAUUAGAUACCCCAGUAGUCCCUGUCUUUAUACA